ACUGAUGGGAAACUGCAUGGGAACCACACAGCAAACAUUUCUUCCGAAGUUUUAAAGUGCACACAAAUUUGGGGGGAAUGAGGGCCCCAGUCUAACUAUGAUUCUCCUGUGGAGUUCAUGAAAUGGCAUCUUUAACAAGUGUUUUGUUGGUGCUGAUGUGACUCCCUCAGACCCGUAUUCAGUAGCACAGGGCUAGAGCUAUCAGGCAUAGCACACCUGAGACCACUGAGUAGCAUGAAGUUUCAGGCUAAGAACUUCCAGAAGUGUAGGUUCCCUGAGCCUGAUUCCUAGGGGCUGAGCCCCUCCUGGAAUAAGUGUGGCCUUGCUGGUGCCUGGAAGGGAUGCUCCCAGGGCCACUGUGUGCAAGGUGUGAUCGUGGAAACCACUGGACUGAAAUGGAUUCUGCCUAGCACCUGAAUAGUCCUAAAGUAGAUUCUCCCAGGGAAGCUGCAAAUAAGAACCUAUGCCUCAUGACACCCUGAUUUCUGACCUUCCCAGAGCUUCACAGAGGCACACACAAGGAUUGCAGGUGAAAUUCAUGAGGACUUGAAUCUAGUACCACUAACAAUGCAUACAGGGCAUACCACUAACAAUGCAUAUGAACCUAACAGAAGCAGAGGAUAUUAAGAAGAGGUGGCAAGAAUACACAGAAGAACUGUACAAAAAAGAUCUUCACGACCCAGAUAAUCAUGAUGGUGUGAUCACCGACCUAGAGUCAGACAUCCUGGAAUAUGAAGUCAAGUGGGCC
ensembl:lncRNA